rnacentral:lncRNA from 1 species
UUGGAGGCUGCAGUGAAGCCAUGAUUGCAUCACUGCACUCCAGCAUGGGCAACAGGUCAAGACCCUGAAAGUUAUUGGCAAAGAGUAACUGGCAGAGCAGAGAUUCCAACCCAGGCAAUCUCGCUACAGAGGUGGACUUUACCUCUUCAUGGCAUUCUGAGGCGGCUCCUGCAAUGAAUAAUAGAUUGAUUUCCAAUCGACCAAUGCAAAAGGGACACGUGGUUUUUCUUUUCUAACCAAAGAGAGCAUACGCAUUAGACUGGAAAGACCAGAGUUUCCUAGUGCUAAGUUCUCAGGUUGAGGACUGAGUGCCACUGGAAAUUUCCCGGACGAAAAGCUGCUUGGAGCCUCCAGGGACCGGCAUCCGUAGAGACGAGGUUUCACCAUGUUGACCAGGCUGGUCUCCAACUCCUGACCUCAAGUGAUCGUACUGCCUCAGCUUCCCAAAAUGCUGAGAUUACCAGCGUGAAGCACCGUGGCUGGCAUCAGCAUAUUAAUUGAAGCCUUGUAGAGCUUCACAAAGGUUCCAUUGAAGAUUUGAGGAAGAUGAAGAAGCUGCAACACCUUUCGGACCUUUGGGCUCACACCAUUGAUACUGCUGAUCCUGAUGACCAAUGCCAAUUUGUGUUCUGCAGAUAAAGGGAAUUAAUAAAAGGAUCCUGGGCAGCCCACAUAAGUAUUAGGAGAAUGGAGAUGAAAACUUGAAUGCUGAUCUUCCAAGAACUAUGUCCUAAAAUCAUGCUCAGACCCCCAGUGCUGCAGCCCUACUCAUUGGGGUAGGAGAGACUCCUGCUGUCAUUCACACUGCACCAAGGAUGCAUGCCUUUCUGUGCCAGGAGUCUAGCCUCGCAAACUACCACCACUAUUGAGGGCCAGGUGCCUCUAAUACCACCCUCACCAGCAAAAUGGAUCCCAUGUGGACCUCAUUUUCAAGUUGCUCACGUGUGCAUUGAAGGAAGUGAUAUUAUGAAAGCCAAGAUGAGAUAAGAUUUCCCAAUAAAGGAAGGUGUGGUUGGUCUAUGCUGUUUACUAAGCGUGAAAAAAAAGAACAAUCUGCAAAUGAACUGUGGCUUUUGGCCUGACUACCCCCAAUAAAGACAACUGAAAAAAGAUUUAAAAUAAAAAUAUUUAU